ensembl:snRNA U6 U6 spliceosomal RNA
AAGUACUGCUUGCUUUGGCUGCUUAUAUUCUAAAAUGGGAAUAAUACUGAGGAGAUCUGCAUGGCCCCGCACAAAGAUGACAUGUAAAUUUGUGAGUUUUUUUUUUUUUUU